CCGGCCUCACGGGGAGGUUCUGGAAACGGAAGUGGCGCAGGAAAUUCCGUUUCUUCUUUCCAGGAUAACUUUGAGCGCAAGAAUCUGAACCAGUUGAUAAUGGACCCUCACAACCAUCAUCCUACUGUUUAAAUAAGCUGACUACUCUAGGUGCUUCAGCAUACACUCUACGCAAUCUUAGAAUGUGCUUUGGCAAUUUUUGGCAGACAUGUUCCAGGAAAGAAACUAUCAGCUUGGAGUCUACUAAUGUUUGCUUUUAUAUAUAAUACACUUUGUGGGAGGAAUAGAGAAUCAUAUAUAAUUCUCCAUCUUCUAGAAGUUGGCUUCAUCAGAUUCUGAACUAUAAAGUUCUAGACACCUGGCCUGAGGAAGAGGAGCUGCUCCCUGCCUGUCUCACCUGAUGGGAGGAGGCAAUGACUCAGUGCACCUGCCUGACUCCCACUUUCCUAAUGAGGAAAAGCCACUUAUCCAGAUACAAUAACCUCUCUCCGAGAGCACUUGUUCACCUUCAAUAUCUGGCCGUACAGCGAGAUAAGAACAAUGUCUGCCUCAUCCAACUCAAUUCCCAAUGCCAGCCAAACAGAAGGGCUUUGAAAAAUAUCCACUGUUGGAGCACUCACCACUCUCCUGGAACCGUUCCAGCUCCUCACUGCUCAGCUGCUUGAUGGAGGUCAUCACUGCCUUGAAGGCUCCCUUCAGGCGCUUCCCUAGGACCAUGUGAUCGGGCUCUGCCCUCAGACGAAUGCCAUACUUGUUUUUAUCCGUAGAUAAUGUAACUUUUCGAACAUUCAAUUCCUAUAGUUUUCAGACAAAAUGAAACAAAAACAAAGAUCCACAAAUUCACAUAUUUGACUGUGAAUGAAUAAAAUGUGAUAUAUCAUACGAUGGACAAUUACUUAGCAAUAUACAGGAAUAAAGCACUAACACAUGCUAUAAUAUGAAUGACCACUAAUGCUAAGUGACAGAUGUAAGAUACAAAAGACCAUCUAUGAACUGUCCAAAGUUGGGACACUCAGAGACAGAAAAUAGAUUACUGGUUGUCAGGGCAUGGUAGGACCUUGAGAGGAAAAUGUAUGUGAAUGCUAACGGACACUGGGUUUCUUUUUAAUAAAAAUUUUACAAGUUUGACAAUGAAAAUGAUAUAAAA